AGCAGCCGCGGUAAUUCCAGCUCCAAUAGCGUAUAUUAAAGUUGUUGCAGUUAAAAAGCUCGUAGUUGAAUUUCGGGGUCAGUAGAUUGGUCGUGCCACUGGUAUGUACUGGUCUUACUGGCUCCUCCUUCCUGAUGAACCGUAAUGCCAUUAAUUUGGUGUUGCGGGGAGACUGGACUGUUACUUUGAAAAAAUUAGAGUGUUUAAAGCGGGCACGCGCUUGAAUACAUUAGCAUGGAAUAACAAAAUAGGACGUUCGAUCUUAUUUUGUUGGUUUCUAGGAUUGACGUAAUGAUUAAUAGGGAUAGUUGGGGGCAUUAGUAUUCAAUUGUCAGAGGUGAAAUUCUUGGAUUUAU
rnacentral:rRNA from 1 species